rnacentral:lncRNA from 9 species
GGACGGAGGAGGGAUGGACUGGCUCUGCUGCAUCCCGCUCUCCCGAGGCCGAGCCCGAGGCCGAGGCGGCAGGCGUCGUCACGGCAGAGAUGGCCUCUGCCAAGCCUGCAGAACCUGGAUGAGAACGCGAGGCGGACGCCUAUGGGCCGUUGCCCGCAGGGACCCAGAGAGUCCCCCACCUGAGACCCGCCAGGAACAGGGUGAGGAAGGCAGAAGGCCACCUGAGGAACCUCCACACAGACUGCUCCCCGGGGUCCUCUGCCGGGCUGGUGGGGAGCACAGGAGCACCAGCUGUGGCCAUGAAGACACCGUCCACAUGAGCCUGACAACCCUGGAAGGCCUGGCCCCCCCUGAGGCCCAGCCUGAAGGUGAGAAGAGGGGGCCGGGGCUCUGGGCGCGGUGGGGGGAGCUGAGGUGUGGGCCGCACAGCGGGGAGUCCCCAGAGGAUGGUGUUGGGCCAGGAGCCAAGACAAAGGCACACGCCCCGCCUGCAGGAGAGCAGAGCCAGCAGGUGCUGGCCGGGACCGGUCGGGAAGGCUCUGGGAAGACUGCUCUCCUUGGAAGAGCACAUGGAAAGGCGGGCAGGCACCAAAGCUCUUCCUCCCUCACCCCUCCAGCAGGAGACCUGGCAUCAGAGGCCAAGACGCCAGCCGAGCGGAAAGACCCUGGAACAGCCCCCAGAGGAGGUCCAGAACCACAGGAGGACUCAGCACCCAGGCAGGGAGGAAAUGUAGCUCCUUCAGAGGGACACUCACGUCCUCAUGGGGACUCACCUCCCGGGGAGAAUGAACACUCUGCUCCUCUCCCAAUAGGCCCAGCUCCUCUUGAGGAGCCACCACCCGGGCAGGGUGGAACCAAGGCGCCUCCUGCAGGAGGACCAGGCCCCCAUGAAGACUCAACUCAUGGGCAGGAUCAACCUGCUGCUCCUCCUGAUGGAGGACCAGAGCCUCCUGAGGUCUCACCUCCCGGGCAGGAUGAAAAACCUGCUCCUCCUCCUGGAGGACGAGGCUCUCAUGAGGACUCAGCAGCCGUGCAGGUUGAAAAACCUGCUCCUCCUCCUGGAGGACGAGGCUCUCAUGAGGACUUACUAGCUGAGCCGGAUGAAAAACCUGCUCCUCCUCCUGGAGGACGAGGCUCUCAUGAUGUCUCACCAGCCGGGCAGGUUGAACAUCCUGCUCCUCCUACCAGAGGACGAGGCUCCCAUGAGGACUCACCAUCUGGGCAGGAUGAACAUCCUGCUCCUCCUCCUGGAGGACGAUGCUCUCAGGAGGAAUCCCCAGCUGGGCAGGAUGAAUAUCCGGCUCCUGCUACAGGAGGACGAGGUUCUCAUGCAGACGCACUGGCCCUGCAGGAUGAAUAUCCUUCUCCUCUUCCUGGAGGACGAGGCUCUCAGGUGGACUCACCAGCCAGGCAGGAGGUAAAUCCUGCUCCUCCUCCAGGAGGACGAGGCUCUCAGGUGGACUCACCAGCCAGGCAGGAGGUAAAUCCUACUCCUCCUCCAGGAGGACGAGGCUCUCAAGAGGACUCACUUGCUGAGCAGGAUGAAAAUCCGGCUAAUCCUCCUGGAGGACGAGGCUCUCACGAGGACUCACUAGCUGGGCAGGAUGAGAAUCCUGCUAGUCCUCCAGAAGUCUCCCGUCCACUCGAUCACUCGCCAGCCCUGCAGGGGGCACUUGGCGCUGCUCUGGCCGAAUUCCCGGACACUGAUGUGCCUUUCCCUGUGCUAGAUGGCAACGCUGCCCCGGCCUCUGCUGGGGACAAAGGGCCCGAGGAGCAUUCAGCAGCCCUUUGGGGAGUGCCUGCCCUGACUGCUCCCGCACCCCCUGUACCAGGUCCUGGCCUGGCUCUUUCAAGAACCCUCGGCCCAGUUCCAAAACCACCUUCCCCAAGGUCCCCUCCGCCCCUGCCAGUGCCCUCCCCAUCAGCUUCCCCCAAACCCCAUCCCCUUGCUCCCCCUCCUGACAUGGACUCUCCUUCCCCUCUCCUGAUUUCUCUUGGGAGAUGUGUCCAAUUUCUCUUUCUGAUUCAUGUCAUUUAUGCUAUAGUUCACUUUGUGUUUUGAGCCUAGUGUUGUUAGAACGUUGAAACAAAAUAACAAUAAAAGAAGGAAGUAGUUAUUGAUAGGGAAGUAAUAAAAAGCACAAAUUAAUAAAUAAAGCUAAUUAUUCUCCGUCAAUCAUUGAGAAGAGAG